rnacentral:rRNA from 1 species
UACGGGGGGGGCAAGCGUUGUUCGGAAUUACUGGGCGUAAAGGGCUCGUAGGCGGCCAACUAAGUCAUACGUGAAAUCCCUCGGCUUAACCGGGGAACUGCGUCUGAUACUGGAUGGCUUGAGAUUGGGAGAGGGAUGCGGAAUUCCAGGUGUAGCGGUGAAAUGCGUAGAUAUCUGGAGGAACACCGGUGGCGAAGGCGGCAUCCUGGACCAACACUGACGCUGAGGAGCGAAAGCCAGGGGAGCAAACGGG